AGAACGAACGCUGGCGGCAGGCUUAACACAUGCAAGUCGAACGGUUGUAGCAAUACAGCAGUGGCAGACGGGUGAGUAACACGUGGGAACCUUCCUAGGGGUACGGAACAACUCAGGGAAACUUGAGCUAAUACCGUAUACGUCCGUGAGGAGAAAGAUUUAUCGCCCCUAGACGGGCCCGCGUAGGAUUAGGUAGUUGGUGAGGUAACGGCUCACCAAGCCUACGAUCCUUAGCUGAUCUGAGAGGAUGAUCAGCCACACUGGGACUGAGACACGGCCCAGACUCCUACGGGAGGCAGCAGUGGGGAAUCUUGGACAAUGGGCGCAAGCCUGAUCCAGCCAUGCCGCGUGAGUGAAGAAGGCCUUCGGGUUGUAAAGCUCUUUUACCAGGGACGAUAAUGACGGUACCUGGAGAAUAAGCCCGGACAAACGUUCGACGCCAGCAGUCGC
rnacentral:rRNA from 1 species